rnacentral:rRNA from 1 species
AAGAGACAGCAGCAGCCGCGGGAAUACCAGCACCUCGAGUGGUCAGGAGGUUUAUUGGGCCUAAAGCAUCCGUAGCCGGUUGCAUAAGUUUUCGGUUAAAUCUAUGCGCUUAACGUAUAGGCCGCCGAAAAUACUGUGCAGCUAGGGAGUGGGAGAGGUACACGGUACUCGAUAGGAAGGGGUAAAAUCCUUUGAUCUAUUGAUGACCACCUGUGGCGAAGGCGGUGUACCAGAACACGUUCGACGGUGAGGGAUGAAAGCUGGGGGAGCAAACCGGAUUAGAUACCCCAGUAGUCCCUGUCUCUUAUAC